UACGAAGGGGGCUAGCGUGUUCGGAAUCACUGGGCGUAAAGCGUACGUAGGCGGACCGUUAAGUCGGGGGUGAAAUCCCAGGGCUCAACCCUGGAACUGCCUUCGAUACUGGCGGUCUGGAGUCCGGGAGAGGUGAGUGGAACUCCUAGUGUAGAGGUGAAAUUCGUAGAUAUUAGGAAGAACACCAGUGGCGAAGGCGGCUCACUGGCCCGGUACUGACGCUGAGGUACGAAAGCGUGGGGAGCAAACAGG
rnacentral:rRNA from 1 species